rnacentral:rRNA from 2 species
UUCUUAAGAGCCGUCCAAGACUAGGACGUUGAUAGGCUGGGUGUGGAAGCGUUGUAAGGCGUUGAGCUAACCAGUACUAAUUGCUCGUGCGGCUUGACCGUAUAUCC